rnacentral:rRNA from 1 species
CGCGUAGGCGGAUGACAUAGUCAGAUGUGAAAUUCCUGGGCUCAACCUGGGGACUGCAUUUGAUACGUGUUGUCUUGAGUGUGGAAGAGGGUCGUGGAAUUCCCAGUGUAGAGGUGAAAUUCGUAGAUAUUGGGAAGAACACCGGUGGUGAAGGCGGCGACCUGGUCCAUAACUGACGCUGAGGCGCGAAAGCGUGGGGAGCAAACAGGAUUAGAUACCCUGGUAGUCCACGCUGUAAACGAUGUGCGCUGGAUGUUGGGUGACCUAGUCACUCAGUGUCGUAGCUAACGCGAUAAGCGCACCGCCUGGGGAGUACGGCCGCAAGGUUGAA